rnacentral:rRNA from 1 species
GGAGUUUGGUCCGUGUCUCAGUACCAAUGUGGGGGACCUUCCUCUCGGAACCCCUACUGAUCGUUGCCCCGGUGGGCCGUUACCCCGCCGGCAAGCUAAUCAGACGCAUCCCCAUCCCUUACCGAUGAAAACUUUAGGUCUCGCUUAGAUGUCUGCACGAGACCGCAUCAGGGAUUAAUCCAGUUUUCACUGGGCUAUACCUGAGUAAUGGGCAGGUUGGAUACGCGUUACUCACCCGUGCGCCGGUCGCCAUCGACAAUAGCAAGCUAUCGUCAUGCUGCCCCUCGACUUGCAUGUGUUAAGCCUGUAGCUAGCGUUCAUC